AGGAAAUUCGCGGGAAAGACAUGCCCGUACAUUUUGGCAAACACGAAAGAUCAUGCAUGGACUUUGUACCCUACACUGCGAAGCGAUAAGACACUGAGUUUUAAUUGGCUGUCAAGCACAGAAGUAAAUAUACCAUGAAGCCGCUAGGUGUCCCUUUGAUGAUGUUGACGCUAUCUUUGUGCGUUGCUGCACGCAGCGAGACGGAGGGGGAGA